rnacentral:rRNA from 1 species
AAGCGUUGUUCGGAAUUACUGGGCGUAAAGGGCUCGUAGGUGGCCAACUAAGUCAGACGUGAAAUCCCUCGGCUUAACCGGGGAACUGCGUCUGAUACUGGAUGGCUUGAGUUCGGGAGAGGGAUGCGGAAUUCCAGGUGUAGCGGUGAAAUGCGUAGAUAUUACUUAGAACACCAAGUGCGAAGGCAGGUCACUAUGUCUUAACUGACGCUGAUGGACGAAAGCGUGGGGAGCGAACAGG